rnacentral:rRNA from 1 species
GUGAGGAAUUUUGCGCAAUGGCCGCAAGGCUGACGCAGCAACGCCGCGUGGGUGAUGAAGGCCUUCGGGUCGUAAAGCCCUGUCAGGUGGGAAGAAAGGCCUGGAGAGGAAAGGUUUCAGGUUUGACGGUACCACCAGAGGAAGCACCGGCUAACUCCGUGCCAGCAGCCGCGGUAAUACGGAGGGUGCGAGCGUUAUUCGGAAUUACUGGGCGUAAAGCGCGUGUAGGCGGGGGGACAAGUCUGAUGUGAAAGCCCUGGGCUUAACCUGGGAAGCGCAUUGGAAACUGUUUUUCUUGAGUACUGGAGAGGAAGGGGGAAUUCCCGGUGUAGAGGUGAAAUUCGUAGAGAUCGGGAGGAAUACCAGUGGCGUAGGCGCCCUUCUGGACGGUAACUGACGCUGAGACGCGAAAGCGUGGGGAGCAAACAGGAUUAGAUACCCCUGUAGUCC